CUCGGAGAUCAAGUCUUUGUUUUGAUGCAGUGGACUUGUUUUUGAGUCCAGGGUGUCUUCCCUGGCUCUAAAGUGGUUGUCUUGCGGUCCAUGUCAAACCAAGAACAUGAUAAUGUAGCACUCAUUGUUCUGUGGUUCUUAACUAGGGCUAGCCUUAACCUUCUAAAA
rnacentral:misc_RNA from 1 species